CUAACCGUUGGNCGUAACAAGGUGAACCGUAAACUUUAACCCGCGGACCGCUGUAGUAACUCGUGGGCAACCUGCCUGUAAGACUGGGAUAACUUCGGGAAACCGAAGCUAAUACCGGAUAGGAUCUUCUCCUUCAUGGGAGAUGAUUGAAAGAUGGUUUCGGCUAUCACUUACAGAUGGGCCCGCGGUGCAUUAGCUAGUUGGUGAGGUAACGGCUCACCAAGGCAACGAUGCAUAGCCGACCUGAGAGGGUGAUCGGCCACACUGGGACUGAGACACGGCCCAGACUCCUACGGGAGGCAGCAGUAGGGAAUCUUCCGCAAUGGACGAAAGUCUGACGGAGCAACGCCGCGUGAGUGAUGAAGGCUUUCGGGUCGUAAAACUCUGUUGUUAGGGAAGAACAAGUACGAGAGUAACUGCUUGUACCUUGACGGUACCUAACCAAGAAAGCCACGGCUAACUACGUGCCAGCAGCCGCGGUAAUACGUAAGUGGCAAGCGUUAUCCGGAAAUUAUUGGGCGUAAAGCGCGCGCAGCGGGUUCUUAA
rnacentral:rRNA from 2 species